GCGCCGGUGGUGUAAGGCGAACAUCGCUGCCCGGAAAGCAGAAGAUGCGGGUUCGAGUCCCGCCUUUCGCA
rnacentral:tRNA from 1 species